rnacentral:rRNA from 1 species
UACGAGGGGGGCGAGCGUUGUUCGGAAUUAUUGGGCGUAAAGGGUGCGUAGGCGGUUCCGCAAGUCCUGUGUGAAAUCUUCGGGCUCAACUCGAAGUCUGCACGGGAAACUGCGGGGCUUGAGUGUGGGAGAGGUGAGUGGAAUUCCCGGUGUAGCGGUGAAAUGCGUAGAUAUCACUCGGAAGGCCAAAGGCGAAGGCAGGUUACUGGUACGCAACUGACGCUGAGGCACGAAAGCGUGGGGAGCAAACAGG